rnacentral:lncRNA from 1 species
AUCCCUAUAAUACUAAACUAUUUUAUAAUUGUCUAAUAGUCAGCUAUCAUUACACUUUCAGAUGAACCAGAUUUGUCUGUCCGGGCCGGUCCAUUAGGUUUUAAUACCCAGGGCAAGAUAAGAAUUUCAUGCCCUUUUAUACGUACCACACAAUAAGCAAUACGUAUAAAGAAUUUAUAAAAAGAUAAAUGUGGUAAAUUUUACAAUAAAAAAAAAAUAAAACAAGCAAAAACCUACAAAAAUAACCUAAAAUGAUGUCUUCAUACAUUUUUUUUACACAAAAACAUCUCUUAUUUUACUUUAUGAUAGUCAAUAUUUUGUACUUUAUGAUGCUUGAAAAGCUAAUCCUUCCAAUCUUUCUUAAAGAUACAAUUUCAAGAGAUUAAAUUUUAUAAAAACCACAUUUCGUUAUAUUUUGACUUCUUGUUUCUACUUUUCACAUGCCAAGAGACCUGAAAAAUGAAUCAUAGAAUCAAAAAUAGUAAUCUGUUUUUAAAAUUACCAUCAAAUAUUAACAAUAAAAAUAAUUUAUACCUUUUAUUGCCUCUAGAAGUCCACAUAUUUAAAAUAAACGAGAGCCAAUUCAUAUCACAGAAACGAAAACACAAAAGUUUAGAAAGAACAUUUACAAAUUUAUAGCAGAAGUAAACAAUAGAUAACAAAUGGUCACAAAUUGUACACGAAGGCUGAAGCAAACCAUUUCAAAAAUCAGAUACAAAUCAACAGAUUUCAAUCUCAAACUAAAGAGAAGUCAGAUAUAAAAAUCCAAUAGAUCUUUCAGACAUUGACUCUUUUUUGCUGUAAUAAAAUAGAGAAAAAAUAAAAUAGAUAAGAACAAAGUAGAUUUCUGAAUCAAACCUAAAUAAACAAAAUUUGAACUAAAAUAGAGAAAAAUCGAGUCUAGUAAAACUUGAACAAGCCAUUCAUUACAACAACCAACAAGAAUCAAUUUUAUUUCUGAAACAAAAAGCAAAAACACUAAAGAUAAAUCACUUCAAAAAACUAGAAUGAGAACAAGAAAAGGAAAUCGGAAUAAGAGAAAUUGAACUCAUCUAGAUCAGAAUCACACCCAAAUAAGAGUCGUUGUAUCAUAACAAUGUAUCUUGGACCUAGAAUGCUUGCAAGUUGAAUCACGAUCUUUAACCAUAGAGAAAUCAGAAAUUAGAAAACAUAACUUGAAAAAUAAAGAAAUUGGAAUGUUUAGAAACUAGAAAUCAGAGAAUCAGAAUAACUUAAAGAUUGAAUUGAAACUUGGGAGCUAUAUAUUAUCGACUGAAUAUGAAAAAUUCAGAAAUCGAUUCUUACUCUUUAUUUAUCAGAGACAUAAGGUGAUUCUAGGGCAUCAAAUUCUCCAAUCGAUAACAACAUGUUUCAAAGCGCCGGACGUUUGGAUUUUCUAUACGCAAUUGAUGAACGCUCGAUGAUUGUCUGGCGCCUAAGGUUUUCUUGCCCUGCUUUCUCACGUCCUGACAGAUCACAAGAUAUGGGGCUAUUUUUUGGGCCACUUUAUAUGUAAAAGAACCAUAGCUGGAUGCCCCCAUAAACUUCCUACCCUGGGCCUAAGCCCAAGUUGCCUAGGUACUGGGCCGGGCCUGCGAGUGUAUGUCGUUAUAACUAGUUAAUCUUGCUAUGAUGUCAUCAGAAAAGUUGCUCAACAUUAGAUAUCAUGUCUCUGGAAAAUUAUGAUGUCUAUCAACAUUAAUAGCCCUUGUUUUAGUUCUUUCUGGAUUCCAGUAAAAAUAGUCACACAUGACAAAUGGUUUUCAAAUUCUUCCACGAUCGAUUGAGGAUCCAUAAAACUACGGCUGCCAUUUCGCUGCUCCCAGUAGACAUGCAAGGGAGGUUCAGAUGAUGAAGCUUUUAUACUUGCAUUAAUGAGUCUUGAUUUGUUCUUUGUUAGGAAUGUAACAAAAUAAGAUGAUAUAUAGCACUUGUAUGUCAUAUUUUUCAAGUAAAUGUUUAAGAUAAGAAAGACCCUGAUUACUAACCUGCU